UGGGGUAAAAGCGUACCAAGGCGACGAUCAGUAGCUGGUCUGAGAGGAUGAUCAGCCACACUGGGACUGAGACACGGCCCAGACUCCUACGGGAGGCAGCAGUGGGGAAUUUUCCGCAAUGGGCGAAAGCCUGACGGAGCAACGCCGCGUGAGGGAGGAAGGCUUUUGGGUUGUAAACCUCUUUUCUCAAGGAAGAUAAUGACGGUACUUGAGGAAUCAGCAUCGGCUAACUCCGUGCCAGCAGCCGCGGUAAUACGGAGGAUGCAAGCGUUAUCCGGAAUAAUUGGGCGUAAAGCGUUCGUAGGUGGUUUUGCAAGUCUGCUGUUAAAGCGUGUAGCUUAACUACAUAAUGGCGGUGGAAACUGCAAAACUAGAGUGCGUUCGGGGCAGAGGGAAUUCCUGGUGUAGCGGUGAAAUGCGUAGAUAUCAGGAAGAACACCGGUGGCGAAGGCGCUCUGCUAGGCCGCAACUGACACUGAGGGACGAAAGCUAGGGGAGCGAAUGGGAUUAGAUACCCCAGUAGUCCUAGCUGUAAACGAUGGAUACUAGGCGUGG
rnacentral:rRNA from 1 species